GUCGAACGGUGAUAGCAAUAUCAUAGUGGCGCACGGGUGCGUAACACGUAUGCAACCUACCUAUUAUUGGGGGAUAGCCUUUGGAAACGGAGAUUAAUACCGCAUAAUACGAUUGACUGGCAUCGGUUGAUUGUUAAAGCUUAGGCGAUAAUAGAUGGGCAUGCGUCCAAUUAGUUAGUUGGUUAGGUAACGGCUGACCAAGACGAUGAUUGGUAGGGGAUCUGAGAGGAUAAUCCCCCACACUGGCACCGAGAUACGGGCCAGACUCCUACGGGAGGCAGCAGUAGGGAAUAUUGGGCAAUGGGCGGAAGCCUGACCCAGCCAUGCCGCGUGCAGGAAGAAGGCGUUAUGCGUUGUAAACUGCUUUUUUAUAGGAAGAAGGAUCCCUUGCGAGGGAAGGUGACGGUACUAUAAGAAUAAGCACCGGCUAACUCCGUGCCAGCAGCCGCGGUAAUACGGAGGGUGCAAGCGUUGUCCGGAUUUAUUGGGUUUAAAGGGUGCGUAGGCGGUUUAUUAAGUCAGUGGUGAAAGACGGUCGCUCAACGAUUGCAGUGCCAUUGAUACUGGUAGACUUGAGUGAGAUUGAGGUAGCUGGAAUGGAUAGUGUAGCGGUGAAAUGCAUAGAUAUUAUCCAGAACACCGAUUGCGAAGGCAGGUUACUAAGUCUUAACUGACGCU
rnacentral:rRNA from 1 species